rnacentral:lncRNA from 1 species
AUGCAUAAAUUUAACAAACAUGAGACUUCUUGUUAUGUGAUCUAUACACAGGUAAUGGAGUACCAUCCAACUGCUGAGGUUCAUUCCCAGGAUUCCUACCCACCUGCCCAGUGGAAACCACCUCCUCCACUGGAUUACAGCUCUUCCAGCUCCAAGUCCCCCAAACGGCAGGUAAUGCAGAACCCAGUCACUGAGAUGACUGCAGUGGAUGGCUUUUCCCCGUGCCAGUCAAAGUCUGUAGCAGAUAGUCGUGAAUCUGCUAGUUCAGAGACACCAAAUCAAGAGAAUGAAAGAAACGCUCACAAUCCCUAUUCAGGAUUAAACAUUUAUUCAUCUGAAGACAGUGAUGAUGACGUAUGUACAUCAAGACUAAAGAAGACUAGAAGCAUACUGGAAGAGUUAUUUUCUGAGGAUUCAAAUGAGCUCCUGGAUUCCGCCUCGGACAGUGGAAAGGAACUUCCUGCAAACUCCAAAGAAGAAACUCGCGACAGCUGCUCAGAAGGUUGCAAGUCCCCAAAACCCAGCUCCAGUGCAAAGAAAUCAAAGGCCUCUGGACGCAGAAACAAUCUCAGAUCUAAAGGCUCGGUUGCUGUCAACAGAAGCCAAAGAAGGGGCGAUGGGAAGAGAGUGUAUAAUAAGAAACAUUAUUGCCUGUUUUGCUCAAAACCUUUCAGCAAAAUGGCAAGACAUUUAGAAGAUGUUCAUGCAAAAGAAGCGGAGGUUGCUAAAGCCCGUGGCUUUCCAAAAGGUUCAAAGGAGAGGAGACUACAGUUGGAUGAACUUCGGCUAAGAGGGAACUACAAACACAAUAUUGCUGUGCUAAAAUCGGGCAAAGGCGACCUGGUCCCUUGUAAACGACCACGGGGGGUAGUCAAGGCCAGUGACUUCAUGCAUUGUGCACAUUGCCAAGGACUUUUCAACAAAAGGGUUUUGUGGAGGCAUAUGAAGGUCUGUAAACUAAGCCCUAAUAAAACAUAUGUCCCAAAACCAGGAAAGAAUCGUACCUUGUCUGUUGUUGCAGCCUCACAGCCUGUGCCUGCUAAUAUAAGCCCAGCGUUAUGGUCUAUAUUAAGCUUCAUGGUCCCAGAUGAAGUCACAGAUGCCGUAAAGAACGACAAUUGCAUCCUUCAGAUGGGGGAAUAUUGGCUUAACAAAAGCGGAGCUCCUCAGCAGAACCAGGGCUGCAUCAUCCGGCAGAAGUUACGUGAACUUGGUAAACUGCUGGUCACUGGGAGGAAAGUGGCUUCACUAAAGAAACUGGAGGAUUUUCUCGACCCGUACAACUGCAUGCAGGUUGUAGAAGCUGUGAGGCAGGCAUGUGAAUACAACAGCGAAACAAACACUUACAAAAUUCCAUCCCUGGCCAAGAAACUCUCGAUUUGGCUUGUGCAGCUUAGCCGACUUGUGAGGUCCAAAGUGGUGAUACCGAAAGACAGCGGCUUGGCUCAGAAGCUACGGGACUUUCAAAAAAUCCAUGAAGACCGUUGGAACGAUUUGCUCUGGACAUCUGUGUCAAAGAAUACAGAGGAUGUCAAGUUUAAGACACCCAUGUUAUUGGCGUUCACAGAAGACGUGCAGAAACUCCACACGUUCCUGAACAAGACGCAAGAUGAACGUAUGACCCAGCUGUCUGCAGACCCUUCUACUAAGUACUGGUCUGAUCUGGCGAAAGUUUGUCUGACUCAAGUUGUUCUGUUCAACCGCAGCAGAGAAGGAGAAGUGUCCAGCAUGACCCUCACCACAUUUCUGUCCAGGGACUCAGCAGAUCCCCCUACAGACAUAGACUGGGCCCUUACCGAGGUUGAGAAGCAGCUGUGCCGGCACUUCUACAAAAUAGUCAUCAGGCCUGAAGGUGCUCGGCCAGUGCCCAUCCUACUCACCCUUAAAAUGCUUCGUGCCUUGCAGCUGCUGGCCGAGAAACGAGAUGUCUGUGGAGUUCUCAAAGAGAACCCAUAUGUUUUUGCUCGCCCGUCGUCCAAUACACACUACAGGAGCUCGGACUGUGUACGAGUGGCUGCUGCGGCUUGUGGCGCAAAGGACGCUUACGCCCUCACCUGUGGAAAGCUGAGGAAGCGAAUUGCAACAUUGUCCACGGUCUUGAACCUGGGGGAUCCAGAGAUCAACCAGCUGGCCAACUUUCUUGGGCAUGAGCUGAUCGUGCAUGAGGAAUAUUAUUCUUUGCCUGAAAGGACCCUGCAGCUUGCAAAAGUCUACAAAGUUCUCACUGCAAUGGAACAAGGCAGAAUGAUGGAGUUCAUGGGCAAGAACUUCUCUGACAUCAAUAUUCAACCUAAUGAGGAGGUUGAGCUCUGCAAUGACAGAGGAAGGAAAAACUGGGAAUGCUCAUCACCAGGAGCUACACAAAGUGUAAAUGAAAGUGCUGUAGAGGACACUGUACUGUGCACAGGUGUCACAGAUACAGGUGCAUUUCCAGUCUCUUCUUCAGGUCAGAAGCGAAAAGAGCAGAAGAAGAGGAAAACCUGGAGUGUGAGUGAAGUCCAGGCUGUAGAAAGACACAUGAAGGAUUUCAUCACCUCCUGCCGUGUCCCGGGAAAAUCGCCCUGCGAGAACUGCAUUAGAGCUGAGCCUCUGGCUCUAAAAAACAGAGACUGGCAGAGUGUCAAGUUUUACGUCUAUAAUCGGAUCAUGGCCCAGAAGAGGGAUGGCAGUCACAGUAAAGUAUGAAAACUACUCUUUUUGAUCUGUUCGUACAAUUUUCUACAAUGUGGGAAAACAUAAACCGCAUGUGGCGUCGCCUGAAGGUUGUGAAAAUGACUGUUCAGCUCAUGCAAUAUUGUGAAGAAGGUGACGUCACUGCUGUUAGCUAGCAGCCAGCGCGGCUGUGGUUCACCUCGGUCCACGGGGAGAAAGGCGUCCAUUAACAGAGCUGAGUGGACUCUUAUGGACCCAAAACUACAAAGAGCCUUAGGAACCUCUGGGUCGUAAACUUCAUGAACUUGAGUCCUAGCUCUCAGUUUCAUUUCUACAUUAGUUCAGUAUUGUAGAUCCCCACCUCAGUCACAUGAUGGUCCUACCAGUACAAGGAGGGUGAAGUUAAAACCAUCCUCCAGGUUUUUACAUGUUAAUGUAUAUUUAUACCUAUAUUCAUGCUUCUUUUCAUUCCAUAUUUAGCCACUGCUUCCUCAAGGCAGUGGAAAGAUGCUCCUGCCCUGUUGUGGAACUCUUAUCUUCCGUCCAUGAUGUAGUCUAUAGGAUAUUGCACCACCAAGUGGUUAAUAAAGUCUAAAGCGGUCUGUGUGAUUUCA